AUUGAACGCUGGCGGCAUGCCUUACACAUACAAGUCGAACGGCAGCACGGGAGCAAUCCUGGUGGCGAGUGGCGAACGGGUGAGUAAAGUAUCGGAACGUGCCCAGUCGUGGGGGAUAACGUAGCGAAAGUUACGCGAAUACCGCAUACGAUCUAUGGAGGAAAGGGGGGGAUCGCAAGACCUCGCGCGCAGGGAGCGGCCGAUAUCAGAUUAGGUAGUUGGUGGGGUAAAGGCUCACCAAGCCGACGAUCUGUAGCUGGUCUGAGAGGACGACCAGCCACACUGGGACUGAGACACGGCCCAGACUCCUACGGGAGGCAGCAGUGGGGAAUUUUGGACAAUGGGCGAAAGCCUGAUCCAGCCAUGCCGCAUGCAGGAUGAAGGCCUUCGGGUUGUAAACUGCUUUUGUACGGAACGAAAAGGUUUGGCCUAAUAAGCUGAGCUCAUGACGGUACCGUAAGAAUAAGCACCGGCUAACUACGUGCCAGCCGCCGCCGUAA
rnacentral:rRNA from 1 species